rnacentral:misc_RNA from 1 species
AGGUGAAGAGCGUUUCAUUGAAGGAGCGAGGCGGAAGAGAGAUGGUGGUAGGGCGGGCAGAAGAAGCAGCAAAGGAAUUGGACGAUGACGUAGGAGGAGGAGGAGGAGGAGAAGAAGAAACCGGCGGCGAGGGGUUGCGGGAACCAUUAUCAGCCAUCAGACGAAGAAACUCGUUACAGUUAUAAGUGAGCGAUUAGCAUGAAAAAGCUUUCCUUCUUUUCUUUUCUUCCUCUGUUCUCUUCGCCUUUUUGCUUUGGCGGAUCUGAAAUUCAGC